rnacentral:rRNA from 1 species
CGAAGUCAAGAGGAGCUUGCUCUUUUUGACUAGUGGCGAACGGGUGAGUAACGCGUGAGGAACCUGCCUCAAAGAGGGGGACAACAGUUGGAAACGACUGCUAAUACCGCAUAAGCCCACAGCUCCGCAUGGAGCAGAGGGAAAAGGAGCAAUCCGCUUUGAGAUGGCCUCGCGUCCGAUUAGCUAGUUGGUGAGGUAACGGCCCACCAAGGCGACGAUCGGUAGCCGGACUGAGAGGUUGAUCGGCCACAUUGGGACUGAGACACGGCCCAGACUCCUACGGGAGGCAGCAGUGGGGAAUAUUGCACAAUGGGGGAAACCCUGAUGCAGCGACGCCGCGUGGAGGAAGAAGGUCUUCGGAUUGUAAACUCCUGUUGUUGGGGAAGAUAAUGACGGUACCCAACAAGGGAGUGACGGCUAACUACGUGCCAGCAGCCGCGGUAAAACGUAGGUCACAAGCGUUGUCCGG